rnacentral:rRNA from 1 species
GAUGAACGCUGGCGGCGUGUCUAAUACAUGCAAGUCGAGCGAACAGACGAGGAGCUUGCUCCUUUGACGUUAGCGGCGGACGGGUGAGUAACACGUAUGUAACCUACCUAUAAGACUGGGAUAACUUCGGGAAACCGGAGCUAAUACCGGAUAAUAUUUCGAACCGCAUGGUUCGAUAGUGAAAGAUGGCUUUGCUAUCACUUAUAGAUGGACCUGCGCCGUAUUAGCUAGUUGGUAAGGUAACGGCUUACCAAGGCAACGAUACGUAGCCGACCUGAGAGGGUGAUCGGCCACACUGGAACUGAGACACGGUCCAGACUCCUACGGGAGGCAGCAGUAGGGAAUCUUCCGCAAUGGGCGAAAGCCUGACGGAGCAACGCCGCGUGAGUGAUGAAGGUCUUCUGAUCGUAAAACUCUGUUAUUAGGGAAGAACAAACGUGUAAGUAACUGUGCACGUCUUGACGGUACCUAAUCAGAAAGCCACGGCUAACUACGUG